UACGUAGGGUGCAGGCGUUAAUCGGAAUUACUGGGCGUAAAGGGCGCGUAGGCGGCCUUCUAAGUCAGACGUGAAAUCCCUCGGCUCAACCGAGGAACUGCGUCUGAUACUGGAAGGCUUGAAUCCGGGAGAGGGAUGUGGAAUUCCAGGUGUAGCGGUGAAAUGCGUAGAUAUCUGGAGGAACACCGGUGGCGAAGGCGGCAUCCUGGACCGGUAUUGACGCUGAGGCGCGAAAGCUAGGGGAGCAAACGGG
rnacentral:rRNA from 1 species